UCUGCCUAAAACUCUUCUUAACACUCUUUUAAAGUUUUAAAUCUCUAAAAUCUAGGCGAAGUUCUGUUUGUAACGCUAGCCUACGAAGACCUUUUUGGGAAGCUAACAAUUUCGGUUGUUUUAUCAAGACGCAAGGUAAGAGGCCCCAAAUAUAAAUUGUUGAUGAGUAUACGUGGAGCCAACAUGACUGUACAUAUGGGGCUGACCUGAAGGGAGUGGAGUUCUGCUAUGCUAUUUUAUAAAUAAACGAGAAACUUGAUUUUAUAAUUAUAUUUCAUUAAAAGUAUUUUGUGAACUUUAUAAUUUACUUAAAGCUUUAAAAGUAUUUCAUGAACGUUGUAAUUUACAUAAAGCUUUUCAAUUUAUCGGUUGGAUACAUCUUCAUUUCUACGUUAAGGUGUAGUAACGCCACGAAAAUUAUUUAUAAAAGUAUUAAGAUUUGUAUGUAAGAUAAAGUUUUUAUUUAGUUGUGAGUAUUGUAUGGUUUGAGGUUAUGAACAUUAGUUAUGUAUUGUUUAAUAAAGUUUUUGUAAAUUCAGAAUUUCAGUAUUGUUAUAUUCAGGUUAAACUUUGUUUU